rnacentral:rRNA from 1 species
AUUAGAUACCCUAUUAUUUUUUAUAUUUUCUUUUAAGCUUAGGUAGUAUUAGAUAAGAUCUUGAAACUUAAAGAAUUUGGCGGUAUUUUAGUCUAUUUAGAGGAAUCUGUUUAUUAAUCGAUAAUCCGCGUUGUAUCUUACUUUAAUUAAUUUUUUGUAUAUCUCUGUUUAUUGAAUAUACUUUUAGGUUAAUAAAAUUUUCUUAAUAAAUAAAUUUAAUUAAAAUUUCAAGUCAAGGUGCAGUAAUAUUAAAGUUAAAAUGGAUUACAAUAAAUUUUAUUUAUUUAAUGAAUAUAUAUUUGUAAUUGGUAAUUGAAGGUGGAUUUAAUUGUAAUUUUUUGAAGAUUAUUAAAAUGAUUAAUUAGCUCUAAAAUAUGUACACAUCGCCCG